rnacentral:lncRNA from 1 species
GAUAGCAUCAAAAGGAAUAAAAUGCUUAGGAAUGAACUUAACCAGGGAGGUGAAAGACUUGUACACUGAAAACUACAAAACAUUACUGAAAGAAAUGAAAAACACAAAUAAAUUGAAAGACAUGCUGUCUUCAUGGGAUAGGAGAAUACAUUGAAUCUGUAGAUUGUUCUGGGUAGCUGUUAUACCCAAACCGUUUGUUCCCCAAAGAAGACCACCAGAGUCCAGAGUCAAAGCCAAGCGGCAAGGAUCUUUUACUACAAGUUCGAACUUGGUCCCUCCAUUCCACAGCGUACAAGAGGGCCCCGAACAAUGCGAGUGCUUUCUUUUUAUAGCCCGAUGUAAACAGGAUAUGUAAAGUUACAGAGGAACAAGGUAAUUCUCUCGGUUACAGCAUUACAAUUGGUUAAUAUUAUACAUUUAGCAUUUUUUAUUGGUUCCCGCUGUGUCCUUAUCAGAGAUUUUCCAGGUGGUGUUUUUCUGAAGUUUGAAAGAAAUACAGAGGAAUGUGUUUGUGCUGGGCUCAGGAAGUUGAGAGAUAUAUGGUGGGUUGUGUUUGUGCUGGGCUCAGGGAGUUAGGAGAUAUAUGGAGGAAUGUGCCUGGUUUCUUUUCAUAGCAUGGACAUUUUAAUAUUGCUAAACCAAUAAUGUUAACAAUAUUAAAAUGUCCACGCUACCUAGAGCAUGCUACAGAUUCAAUGUAAUCUCUAUCAAAAUCCCCAUGGCAUUAUUUUGCAGAAAUAAAAAAAGUUCUCAAACUCCUAUGGAAUCUCAAAGGACUCCACAGCCAAAACAAUAUUGAAAAAGAAAAAGCUGGAGGCCUCACACUUUGAUUUCAGAAAAUAUUUUUAAGCUACAAAAAUCAAAACAGCUGGGUAUGGUGACACACGCCUGUAAUCUCAGCACUUUGGGAGGCCGAGGUGGGCAGAUCACGAGGUCAGGAGAUUGAGAUCAUCCUGGCUAACACAGUGAAACCCCAUCUCUACUAAAAAUACAAAAAAUUGGCUGGGUGUGGUGGCGGGCGCCUGUAGUCCCAGCUACUCGGAAGGCUGAGACAGGAGAAUGGCGUGAAUUCACGAGGCGGAGCUUGCAGUGAGCCAAGAUUGCGCCACCACACUCCAGCCUGGGUGACAAAGCGAGACUCCAUUUCAAAAAAAAAAAAAAAUCAAAA